rnacentral:lncRNA from 1 species
GCUUUUUGUUCUUGGCAGCAUCGCCAGUGAACGAAAUUCCCGCCAAUUCUACGAUCCCAGUAAACACUGGCUGGUGGCCGAGACCUGACCUAAACGUCGUGUAUUGUGGCAACGGAGCACCGACUCUCUGAGCAAUUUCCUGCAGUAGGUUCUUGUUUUCCUGUAGUAGGUUCUUGUAUACCCCUGUUUCAUCCUGGAUAGACAGACGCAUACAUCAGCCAAAACAACUUCCAAUGGUAGAAAUACAAGCCAUUGAAGUAAAAGGAACAAGUAAGAGUGUAAACAAAACAACCCAUGACUGCAGUUCCAUAAGUAAGUGAACUAUAACCUAUGAUCCUACUACUAGUUACAGUCUAGUUCCAGAAGAAGCAUCCUUUGAAGUCUUUAAACUAACUCAAAGAUACAAUAUUCACCAAUCACAUAGAGAGUAGUAAGUGGGUAUGAACACAAAGACUUUUCUCAUCUGGAUCACAAUUGAAUAUUGCAAGAUGCUCAUUAGAGUCUUUUCACAUCCAUAUUCAACACCAAUUAUAAUAAUACAAUAUAGUUUUGAUGCAACCUCACCAAAGAUUUUAUCUUUACAACUUAUCAGCAAUAAACACUAUCUGAUGAUGAUCAAACAGUUAGAUAAAGACCCAACACGCUUUAGGUAAACAAACCAACAUCGUCUUUGACAUUCAACAUGCAGCCAGAUCAUCAAACAAACUUUCAACCACAGAUUUAACUGGUUUGAACUUUCAACCCAAAGCCAUUAAUCGAAGCCUCAGUCAACAGGGGAAUAAUCGAGAACAAGUAUAUAAAAAGGUCAUUUCCGUAAUUUUGACACCUUUCGCCGGCGAAUCAAAAGCAAAUCGGAAAAAAGACUAAGCAAUGAUUGAUCACGA